CCCUGGGUCCAUCAAGAAGGUAGGGUGACUUCAGUGGGGGUAGAGGAAGGUCUGAUGCAAGAUCAUGAGCAGAAGGGGACUACAACAGUUCUAAUCAAGUCCCUGUAACACAGCUUGGGGCUCAUCCCAUGGCCCCGAUAGCAUCACUUCCUGACUACGCAGGGAGAAGUGUGCUGGGCCCUCAGGAUGUCAUAGGGGAUGGCAAACACUUUUCAUGUGUCUCAGGGUAGCCGCAGGUCUUAAGUUCAAGCCCUGCCUCUGCAAUUCAUGACUUUCUGUCCCUGAGGAUCUGACUCAUCUGAGCUUCUGUGACAUUGGGGUGACCUGCCUUCAUCACACAACGGGGGGGGGGGCAAGAAGGCUCUUCCUGACCCCCGGAUUCUCUACACAUUGGACAUCGGGUCCUGACUGAACGUUUCACACUCGUGUUUCAGGAAGGAACAUGCAGCUCUCCACAGCUAUGUGGAGAGUCCUUCUUUGACCUAAGAACCUCGGCAUUUCCCUCGGCAGACCCCCCGCCCCCCAGAGGACAGUGAGGAAGCAAGAGUGCUAAGAAGCCUUGGGAAUAUUCUGCUGACCCUUCCUGGUCCCACAGAGGCCAGGAAAGCACAGCAUCUGGCCCUCCUGAGGGGUGGGAAGAGUCAGGAGACCCCAGGGUAGGCUCCACAGUGGAGCCUUACUCCACGCCCCUGCACGCAGCAUCGUGUGCAAAGACCCGGACACCAAUGUCUCAGAGUUAGGAAGUAAGCAUCAGGCUGGGUGUGGUAGCUGGGUCAAGAGGGUCAUGGGUUCAAGACCAGGUCAGGCUGCACUGUGAGACCCUGCUUUGAAAUGCAAUAAAAUUACCCCCCCCACACACACACACAACACAAUCAAGCAAAGAUAUAAAAUAGGCACCUCCCAUCCCCCAUGCCCCGCACCCACCCCCCUGUGAUAUUAAGAAAGUGAAACACAUCUUUGGGGAAAGACAAAGUGACCAAUUCUUAAGCUCCAGGGCAAAGUGGUUCCUGAGAGCAGACAGAACACUUCAGCUGACACAUUUCAAUAUUGGCUUCCUGGGGAGUUUAUGGCCUGGGAACACAUCCCAGGACCCCAUGUGACACACCAAGGCAUGGGACGUGCUUUGAUGUUACAACCUGCAUGGCUUUGGUUGUGACAAAAGGCGACAGGGAAUGAAGAAAAGACAGACACAGGUGAUAUAAAGCUGGGGCCAGUGAGCCAUGUGCUCAGAUGGAGCAGCAGCAGCAGCAGCAGCAGCAGCAGCAGCAGCAGCAGCAGCAGCAGCAGCCUGAACUGGAGACUCAGCACACUAUUAUAUACGGCCGGAUGAGGAGGCCAGUGAGCGACUCUUGGUAGGGAAGCAGUCUCAGGCUGUAGCCAUCUUGGAGAUGUACACUUGGACACUGGGACUGAUACUUCCUGCACACGCUGUCAACAUCCGUGCUUGGACCUGGGGAAGACCGUGCUAACCCCAUAGGUCUGAGGCAUUAGAAUUCUUAACAUGGCUGAGCUCAUACCAACAACAGGCAUCCACUCAGGACUUCAUCAGUUCCCCACGCUUUCAAGUGUACUUUUAUCUUUGGCUCCAAACGAAAUCGAAUCCUUUCUGCUUUCACUUGGCCAUGAACAAAUUGCAUCGCUAAUACAGGGACAUCCGUUAAUUAAAGGGAGGAACUUGAAUAGCUGCAGAAGCCCUGCUGCAUAGCCACCUGCCCCUUGGCUGAGCAUGAAGGGGGCAAGGUCCUCCCUGAGGGGGACAGGUGGGAGUGUACCUCCUUCUUGAUGGCUUUCUGUUUAAUUUGCUUUUGCAUAUUCUGGGCUUCAUGUGUGAGUUAACACAAAUGGUGCCCUACAUAUCCACACUUCUGCAAUAUGCUCUCUCUGCUUAAUAUAAUCAGGGAGGAGCUUUCUAUCUUAGUACAUAUAGGGCAACUUCAUUCCUAAGGAGACGAAUACUGAUCAUUCAUUUGCACUUUUCCACGUUAAUAGGCAUUGGGGUUAUCUUAUCUUAUAUAUUCGCAUUGUGAUUACAGACAGUUCUAAAAGGAGCAUCCUUUGUACCUCUGUGUAGGAGGUGGGAACUCUUGGUCUAGGGUUUGCACACUUUGAUUUUAAUAGCUAUGCUCAGUUGUCCUUCAAACACUGCCCCGACUAUAUCCUCACUAGUGUGCAUCCACUGACAGGUCAACACUCUCUUUGUAUGUUGUCGUUGCCCAUGUUUUAGUGGCUCAGUGUCAGGAAUUCUUCUCGAAGUCACCUGUUCUCCACUGAGCUGUUGGUUUUCCUCACUGGCAUGUCAGGGUGCACUUUGCCUGACAAGUGCUCCUGUGUGGCCUCCCCGUGACUUCCCUUUUUUAAAGGUAAAAUUUGAAGUUAGCAUUCAAAGUAAUGAGUUUCAUUAUGGUGGCCUCAUAAAUAUAUCACUAUACUUCUUUAAUUUUUAAAUUCGAUGUGUUAGGUGUUUUGCCUGCAUGUAUAUCUGUGCACCACAUGUGUGCCUGGUGCCUGCAGAGGCAGAAGAGGGCAUAAGAUCCUCUGAGACUGGAGUUACAGAUAAUUGUAGGCUGCCAUGUGGGUACUGAGACUUGAGCCCCAACCCUCUGGAGAGGAGCCUAUGCUUGUAACUGCAAAGCCAUCUCUCAGCCCCUGUAUACUUGACUCUUACUGUCCCCACCCUCCUGCCCCCUCUUGCUUUCUCUGUCCUUUCCCCAAAUAGUCCCUCGCACUGGGAUAUCCUCUAUUAUACUCUAUGUUCUCCUUGCCUUUCUCCCAUCGCUCUUCCCUCGCUCGUUUGGUCUCCUUUUAAAUUCCACCAAACAGUUGAAUAAAACCCUCUUGUGCUUAUGGAUCACAUUUUCUUUAUACAUUCACCCAUUGCUGGAUGGCUACCCUUGUUCUGUUUCUUAGUUAUUGUGAGUAGUAUUAUAGUAAACAUGGCUCUGGGACCAUCUCUGUGCUAUGUUGACUUAAGUUCUCCAGUUAUACACUGGAUCACCACAUGAUGAGGGAACUGAUCAUCAUGUGGCGAUCGUUCUAUUUUUAGUUUUUUGAGGCACAUCCAUACAGAGUUCUAUAGUGGCUGCAUGUGAUGGUUAGUGUUCUCCACUUGACAGAAUCUAGACUCACUUGGGAGAUGGGCCUCUGGCAAGCCUACGGGGAUUAACUCAAUUCAUUGAUGUAGGAAGACCCAUCUUAAUAUUUUUAAAUUUUUAUUCAUUUUUUAAGUGUGUGUGUGUGUUCACUGCCCAUCUAUGCUAGAAGAGGGCAUCAGGUCCUCUGGAGCUGGAGUUACUGAUGGUUAUGAGCCACCAUGUAGAUGUUGGGAAUCAAACUUGGGUCCUCUGCAAGAGCAGCCAGUGUUCGAAACCACUCAACCAUUUUUCAAGCUCACCCUGUUGUAAUACUUUAUAUUACUCUCUCUCUCUCUCUCUCUCUCUCUCUCUCUGUGUGUGUGUGUGUGUGUUUAGGUUUGGGUGCUGUGGGUUCGUGUGGAAGUCUGAAGACAACUUGAUGGAGUUAGUUCUGUCCUUGGAUCCCUGGAUCAGUCCCAGCUGCUGUGGCUGAGAUGUGAUGAGCCAUGUGAAUUGAGGGCAAGACCAUCCCUGGGCAGGGAAUUCUGGGGAUGGGCAGUUGUGUUCAUUCAUCACUGACUUCUGAUCUCAGCCAUAAUGUGGCCACCCGAUUCCGCGUGCCUUGACUUCCCCAUGAUGGGUGAUGGUUUGAUGGUACUGUGAGCUAAAACACCCCUCCCUUCCCAAAGCUGGUUUUGUUGGAGCAUUUUAUCACAACAACAGAAGAGGAACAGACUUUCAUUUCUCCCAGUCACGGUGAGUGAGGACUCCUUUUCUUCUGUGUCUUCUUUGGCACUUGUUGCCAUUUGUGGUCUUGAGGACAGUCGUUUUGAGCGGUGUGAGAUGGAAUGUCAAAGCAGCUUUAGUUUGCAUUUCCUGGAUGCCUGAUCACACUGAACACCUUUCCAAGUAUGUGUCCGUCAUUUGUACUUUGAAGAGUUGUGUAUCCAGUUUACAAGGCCAUUUAUUGAUUGGAUGAUAGUUUUUGAGGGU
rnacentral:lncRNA from 1 species